GGGCAUGUUUGAGUGUUGUUUUUAGUCUGGGCACCCAUAUAUAUUUAGCUAUAUAUGGAGGUUUAAGUAGAGACCCUGGUGGAGUUGCUCUUAUAAAGAUAAAGUUUGUGUGUGUGGCUUAUUAUGCGUGAGUGUACGUGGUGCCAGUUGUGAGUGUCUGCAUCUAUAUCGUGUAAUAAAAAGAAAUCAAAUUUGAUGCAGGGUUGUUACGUGUUU
rnacentral:lncRNA from 1 species